UACGUAGGGUGCAAGCGUUAAUCGGAAUUACUGGGCGUAAAGCGUGCGCAGGCGGUUUUGUAAGACCGAUGUGAAAUCCCCGGGCUUAACCUGGGAACUGCGCUUGUAACUGAUAGGCUUGAGUGUGGCAGAGGGGGGUGGAAUUCCCGGUGUAGAGGUGAAAUUCGUAGAUAUCGGGAGGAACACCAGUGGCGAAGGCGGCGCCUGGGCCAAUAUUGACGCUGAGG
rnacentral:rRNA from 1 species